UACGAAGGGGGCUAGCGUUGUUCGGAAUUACUGGGCGUAAAGGGCGCGUAGGCGGCUUCGAUAGUCGGGUGUGAAAUGCCUGGGCUCAACCCAGGAACUGCACUCGAAACUCCGAGGCUAGAGUGUGGGAGAGGAUAGUGGAAUUCCCAGUGUAGAGGUGAAAGUCGUAGAUAUUGGGAAGAACACCGGUGGCGAAGGCGGCUAUCUGGACCACAACUGACGCUGAGGCGCGAAAGCGUGGGGAGCAAACAGG
rnacentral:rRNA from 1 species